ensembl:lncRNA
GGCUCCCAGCACCAUCUGUGCAGUGAGCAGUGCCUGGAGGAAAGAGUGGGACAGAGAUCUGGUGACUCACUGGACCCGGAGGAAUAAAGAGAAAGGAAGGCUGGCUCACGCUGCAGCCUAGGCUGGAAGAUGCCAGAAAGACUGCUGUGCUGCUGGACCCAGAGCUCUCCUCCUCCUUCCUCAGCGGUCUCAGAAACACGCAGGCUGCAGGGUCCCGCUGUGCGCAGUCUCCUCCUCCAGAUCUAGGGAGCCCUGGAUGCCAGCAGCACAACCUCGUCGAGGGACUAUGAGGAUAAAACUGGGUACCACAUGUUUAAAGAGCUCAGCACGGAGCCUGUCAUGGCGAGCACCUGUUCACGCUCCCAGCCAGGACUUCUGCCUCUGCCUUGCCAUUCACUCCUUAGCUCUGUCCACUCCACAUCCUGUUCUCUGGACCCUUGUCCUCCCUGGGUUCCUGGGAGGACUCGUGCAAGGCGAUGGGUGUGGAGUGCAAGGGCAGCGGCAAUCAGAGGGGCAGAUGGGAUGACUUGGGUCAGGAAGUCCCUGCAGUGGCCUCCAAAGGCCUCUCUGCUGAUCCCGGCCUGACUCACCCACAAAGUCCUCUCUCUUGAGGGCUCUCUCACCUUCCCAGGCCUCUACCUUCUCUUCUGUCCUGAGGAAGAAUUCUAAGACUCUCAAGAAGACAAGAGAUUUCAGAGGUCAUCUUAUCCAACAUCCUCCAGGGCGGGCUUGGAUUUCCUGGCGGCUCCUUGUACACACAGGAUGGAGCGCUUGCUACCUCUGGAGGCCCCUGUUUUGUUUGGGAGACAGUGCUGGGAAUGUGAGGGUGUUGAAUUGUAACUUCUGCCUCUGGUUCUACCUGUGGGCUCUCCCGGGAGCCUCUUCGGGUCCCUGCAGAGAGAUACACUGGCCCCUGUUACCACCCUCUCCCCUUCGUGGGCCCUACAGCCUCCCUCCCUCUGGCCUUCGGUCCUCAUCUUGUAGUUCCCAGUCCGGGUUCCUGGGGGAACCACAGUGGAG